UUUAUGGAGAGUUUGAUCCUGGCUCAGGAUGAACGCUGGCGGCGUGCCUAAUACAUGCAAGUCGAGCGAACGGACGAGAAGCUUGCUUCUCUGAUGUUAGCGGCGGACGGGUGAGUAACACGUGGAUAACCUACCUAUAAGACUGGGAUAACUUCGGGAAACCGGAGCUAAUACCGGAUAAUAUUUUGAACCGCAUGGUUCAAAAGCGAAAGACGGUCUUACUGUCACUUAUAGAUGGAUCCGCGCUGCAUUAGCUAGUUGGUAAGGUAACGGCUUACCAAGGCAACGAUGCAUAGCCGACCUGAGAGGGUGAUCGGCCACACUGGAACUGAGACACGGUCCAGACUCCUACGGGAGGCAGCAGUAGGGAAUCUUCCGCAAUGGGCGAAAGCCUGACGGAGCAACGCCGCGUGAGUGAUGAAGGUCUUCGGAUCGUAAAACUCUGUUAUUAGGGAAGAACAUAUGUGUAAGUAACUGUGCACAUCUUGACGGUACCUAAUCAGAAAGCCACGGCUAACUACGUGCCAGCAGCCGCGGUAAUACGUAGGUGGCAAGCGUUAUCCGGAAUUAUUGGGCGUAAAGCGCGCGUAGGCGGUUUUUUAAGUCUGAUGUGAAAGCCCACGGCUCAACCGUGGAGGGUCAUUGGAAACUGGAAAACUUGAGUGCAGAAGAGGAAAGUGGAAUUCCAUGUGUAGCGGUGAAAUGCGCAGAGAUAUGGAGGAACACCAGUGGCGAAGGCGACUUUCUGGUCUGUAACUGACGCUGAUGUGCGAAAGCGUGGGGAUCAAACAGGAUUAGAUACCCUGGUAGUCCACGCCGUAAACGAUGAGUGCUAAGUGUUAGGGGGUUUCCGCCCCUUAGUGCUGCAGCUAACGCAUUAAGCACUCCGCCUGGGGAGUACGACCGCAAGGUUGAAACUCAAAGGAAUUGACGGGGACCCGCACAAGCGGUGGAGCAUGUGGUUUAAUUCGAAGCAACGCGAAGAACCUUACCAAAUCUUGACAUCCUUUGACAACUCUAGAGAUAGAGCUUUCCCCUUCGGGGGACAAAGUGACAGGUGGUGCAUGGUUGUCGUCAGCUCGUGUCGUGAGAUGUUGGGUUAAGUCCCGCAACGAGCGCAACCCUUAAGCUUAGUUGCCAUCAUUAAGUUGGGCACUCUAAGUUGACUGCCGGUGACAAACCGGAGGAAGGUGGGGAUGACGUCAAAUCAUCAUGCCCCUUAUGAUUUGGGCUACACACGUGCUACAAUGGACAAUACAAAGGGCAGCGAAACCGCGAGGUCAAGCAAAUCCCAUAAAGUUGUUCUCAGUUCGGAUUGUAGUCUGCAACUCGACUACAUGAAGCUGGAAUCGCUAGUAAUCGUAGAUCAGCAUGCUACGGUGAAUACGUUCCCGGGUCUUGUACACACCGCCCGUCACACCACGAGAGUUUGUAACACCCGAAGCCGGUGGAGUAACCUUUUAGGAGCUAGCCGUCGAAGGUGGGACAAAUGAUUGGGGUGAAGUCGUAACAAGGUAGCCGUAUCGGAAGGUGCGGCUGGAUCACCUCCUUU
rnacentral:rRNA from 1 species